AGCCGCAAUUUCGUGCUAAGGUAGCAUAAUCACUUGUUCCUUAAAUGGGAACUAGAACAAAAGAUUUAACAUUUUAAUUAAUUUUUUCAAAUAAAAAUUUAAACUUUUCUCAAAUGUAAAAAGACAUUUAUUUAUAAGAAAGACGAUAAGACCCUAUUGAACUUAACUUAAGUUAAACUGGGGUAGUAAAUUAAUUAUAAUUUUAAUAAAACUAAUUUUCAAAAAAUCUAUUUAAAUAAAUAAUUCAGUUACCAUAGGGAUAACAGCAUAAUUAUAUUCUAAAGCUCUUAUAAAAAAAUAAGUUUAUGACCUCGAUGUUGAAUUAAUAACCUAAUUUAAGCAAAAUUAAGAAUAGGAGGUCUGUUCGACCUUUAAAAAAUUACAUGAUUUGAGUUCAGACCGGUGUAAGCCAGGUCGGUUUCUAUCUUCUUAAAAGUUUUUUACAGUACGAAAGGACCUAAAAAUAUUUAUUUAAUUGGCAGAAAAAUGCAUUAGAAUUAGAAUCUAAAUAAAAUAA
rnacentral:rRNA from 1 species